CUUUGUCGACUUCCAUUUCAGGAAAUUUAGAGUGUCUAGCUCGCUGGAGUUGACUGAAGCUCAGAUGGCUUCUACUCAAAGAAUUGUCAAAUCAUUUAAGAAACUUUACAGUUAUCUUCAUGGUGUCGAGAGAUUAAAUAUCUCAUCGUUCAAGAUAAAAGUUUGCGGCACCCCUUCUUGUUCAGAGACAAGCGCGAGGCGUGACUGUGGUAUCUAUGCAAUGAGGUUUAUUUGGAUAUUCAAGGCUAAUUUUUACCCAGAUGUAUUCAAGG